UACGUAGGCAGCAAGCGUUGUUCGGAGUUACUGGGCGUAAAGGGUGCGUAGGCGGUCCUAUAAGUAUGGUGUGAAAUCUCCCGGCUUAACUGGGAGGGUGCGCUAUAGACUGUGGGACUAGAGUGUGGGAGAGGAAAGUGGAAUUCCUGGUGUAGCGGUGAAAUGCGCAGAUAUCGGGAGGAACACCGGUGGCGAAGGCGGUUCUCUGGGCCUUACCUGGACGCUGAGGAGCGAAAGCGUGGGGAGCGAACAGGAUUAGAUACCUUGU
rnacentral:rRNA from 1 species